GGCCUACGGGGCGCAGCAGUGGGGAAUAUUGCACAAUGGGCGAAAGCCUGAUGCAGCGACGCCGCGUGAAGGAUGAAGUAUUUCGGUAUGUAAACUUCUAUCAGCAGGGAAGAAAAUGACGGUACCUGACUAAGAAGCCCCGGCUAACUACGUGCCAGCAGCCGCGGUAAUACGUAGGGGGCAAGCGUUAUCCGGAUUUACUGGGUGUAAAGGGAGCGUAGACGGCGAUGAAAGCCAGAUGUGAAAGCCCGGGGCUCAACCCCGGGACUGCGUUUGGAACUGUGUGGCUGGAGUGUCG
rnacentral:rRNA from 1 species